UUGAAUAAAAACUUUGGAGAUAAAAAAUAGAGAUUGUGACUUCUUGGCCUUUUGACUAAGAUCAAGUGUAAAGGAUAGAGAUUAAAUAUCUUUUGGCAGUUGAGGCUUUCCACAAUCUAAAUUUACCUUGUCUUCUGUUUCCUUGUGACAUUACCACCUCACCUUAUUCCCCACUGUGUUUCUGCCUGAACCAAGACCAACUGGACCUGUCUGCUCACUAACAAACAUGUUAUUUACUUUCCCUCCUUCUAUUUCUCAACCCUGCAAAUUCUUACUACUCCUCCUUGUUAAUCAAAUCCUAGCAACUUUUUUGAGACUUGGGAUGUUCUACGUUUUGCCGAAAGCCUUCCCCCACCUAAUCUAACUUAUGCUAAUUUUCUCCUUUCUCAGAGCCUCUCCUAGCAUUUAUGACCUCUGGUAUGUAUUUUGACAUGUUUCCUUACUAUUAAACGUUAUUACUGAUCUUAUCAUGGGUGUAUGUCUGGACAAAAAUAAGACCAUUUUACAUUUAUUUUGCAUCCUCUACAGCACCUGGUAGACACUGUGUGUAUGUUAAGCACAUAAUCAGCACCCGUGGACUGAAUUUGCCCACUUGUUUCCUAGUGCCUUUCAAAGACAACCUGGUUUUGCCUUUUCUUUUCCAUUCAGGAGCUAAUUCUAUCCUCACGUGUCUGUCCUACCAAUACAGCCCUCUCUCCCUAAUAGAGGGUCCAGGGCCCCCAUUUAUCCUGUUCUCUUUGCAGCACUUUGUAGCAGAUCAGCUGUGUUUCCACAUUUGUUCUUUGUUUUCUUACAGUGGGCUACUUAAAUAGUCCAUAACUUCUGCUCCAUACAGGCACGGGCUGCAGAACAAGAGGCCUGUUGGAAUUGCCAUAACCAAAGAGAUUGUGUAUAUUGUGGGGGCUGGGGAGUGGGUAGAAACUCACAGAAAGCAGUAUGGUGAAGGGUUUUGGUGUCUGGUAUACACGCAGGCUCUGGGACAGUUUUGGAGAUAGGUCUGGAAAUUGGGUAUAUGUGACGGAGAUGUAUGGCCAAAGGCAAUUUCAUAAACAACUAUAAAGUCAACAAACCCACAAAUUUGCUUUUAGAGCUAAAGUUAAUAUUAUGCAGUUCAGUCUCUCUUUUUUACACACAAGAAAACUAAGGUCCAAAGAGGUACUUGCAAAUAGUAGAUAAUAAAUAUUAGCUGAUUGCAAAUAAUCUAAUCAAGUCAGUCUUUAGACAGAUUCAUUCUUUAUGGUAUUUAAUGUCAGAACGAACUAGUCUUGGUUUUAGUCAGCAAUUCAAGACUAAAUCAUACUUGUCAGCAUGAUAACUAAACAGGACCCAUCAAGGGAAUCUGGCUUUGCUGACACCUUGAUUUCAGACCAGUGAACCUGACUUAGGACAUCUGACCUCCAGAACUAUAAGAAAAUAAAUGUGUGUUGUUUUAAGCCAUCAAGCUUCCUGUAACUUGUUACAGCAGCCCUAGAAAAUAUACAGUGACCUUAGAGAUUCUUCAAGUAAAGGUAAACUUCAGUAAUAUCUUUAUCUCAAUAGCACUGGAAAAUCAGAUAAGCCAUAUUAAUUAUGUUUUUUAAUGUUAUCAGAUGUGGGCCACCAGCCUUAAGCCAGAGGGAGCUUUGUAAGACAGGAACAUAUAAAAUGAUAAAAGCUUCUCUACGUACAGUUUUCCUGACUCUGAUUCUGCGUGGGACAACCAGUGAAAAUUGCAGGUGAAGAGAAGAAAUGCGUAUUUAUUCCUCCACUGGGAAAAAAAAUACCAUCCAAAGCUACAUGACUUGAGAGACAAGGUCUCACUAUGUUGCCCAGGCUGGCCUCGAACUCCCGGGCUUCAGCAGUCCUCCCGCCUCACCCUCCGAUGUAGCUAGGACUACAGGACCGCGACCCGGCGCUGCCUAAGAACUGUUUUUAAACGUGAAAGCCACGGCUAUCAUUUGCUUUUUGCUCUGCUCUUCAUCUUCUGGAUAAACCUCGUAACACACUGCUUGUUUUGGGUGGUAGUCUGCUGCCUACGCCCCGUCAGACAAGUGGCCUGAGUCCCCCGCAACCCCUGCAGGUCCGGCCGCCGGCGCCAAGCCUCAAGGCAUCCAAGCCAGGAACGAUCGCGGUCAGCUCUGCCACGGAACAUGUGCAAGACCCGGCAGCAGGUUCCGGGGGAGGCGAAUUGAUUUCACAACGGUCGAGAAGGAGGACCCCGCCCACUUCGUCAUUUCUCGGAAGCCCAGGGACUCGCCGGAAGAGCGGCUCAAAAGCCGGAAAACUGGCAAAUCCGAGUCUCCCGGCGCAUGCGCGGCGCAAUCGGCUUCGCGUGGUUGCAGUAGAGAGGAUCCCUCCGCCAGCCACUGCAUCCGGCGGCCGGAUCUAACUUACCCGCUAGCGUUUUACCCUUGCGCGGCCGUGGCGUAGGGCGGUCUUUUCCCUUGGUCCUCCGCGGCGCCGCCUCUUGUGACGUAAGCCGCAGAAUCCUCUGUCUUAGUUCGGCUCUAUUGCCGCGAGCUUGACUCUUCCUGGGUCUGAGGAAAAGUAAAAGUAAUUUUGUCAUUUCCUGAAACUUCAAGUUAAACCUUUAAGCUGUUCAUUUCCUAAAAGGGUGAAAACGCGGGCACCCCUCGAGCUAGUUCAUCGCCUUUUAACCUGUUGUUGGAUCUUUCCAGAUCACCACACCACAUCACCCAGCCACUCUGCCCAAUGGGAGGGCAGACAGUGUUCCAGUGUAGGAGGAAGGGGUGUAAGGUGCGGGCAGUUUGUGAGGAGGGCACCAACGAGAGCUACUGUGAGAAAGUCUGCAUGGUCAAAAAGUGGAUUACCAAGAACAAAGCAUCAUAAUGUUGUCCAGUGGACCCCAGGUUGAAAAGUCAGGUUCUGGAAUUGGCUGUCUGGAUUAAAAUACUGGUUCCAUCACUGAGAAGCUGUGUGACCUUGCGAAAAUUACUUAAUCUCUUUGUGUUUCAGUUUUCUGAUCUGUAAAAUGAAGUCAAUAAUGCCCCUUUUCUGAGGCCUCCCUUGGCCAGAUAUGAUUAAAUAUUUAUCAAACUAAGGACUCAGCUUACUUGGAGUGAAAACUCUUCAGGGCCUCUCAGAGAUACCUAAGAUAAGUACCUUAUUUUAGUAGCUCUCAAAUAAAGCUUCUUUUAUGCUCUGUCUUUUUCAUAUAUAAAAUAAGGUCUAAUUAGAAAGUUUUAUAAUGGAGGCAGUCAAUUCCCCAAUUCCUUAUUUGUUUGAAUUAACUUUUAAAAAAUUGGGGUGUUCACUCUGGCGUUGGCUCAAUCCAGACUCUGUAAUCAGCCAACAAUCUGUGCUUCACAAAGGCUGGCGUCCUAACUGCCAGCUUCUGCCAUCCGCACCUUUUCCGUGGGGUAAUACAUUUUAAUUGGUACUUCUCUGAGAGCCCUACACAUCUCCAUCUGGCCAAAUAAACAUACUUUUACUAUUCAGCCUCAACAUCUUGGCAGUUAACAAGAGGACAGACUUGCCACAAUGGGUAAUCUUUAAGAUGCAUAAAAUCCUAAAAUUAAAGGACCAGGUACAGGUGGUAUAAUCAAUGGCUGCCUAGAAGAUGGCUCAUCUACAAAGUGGCUUUGUGUUCCACAGUCUUUUUAACACUGCUCUUGUGAUCCUAAAUGCAGUUCCUGAGCCGAGUCAGCAUUGAGAGCUCUCUCCUCUCAAAGGGCACAUUAGUGAUGAAAUAUUUCACUUCCAAUGACAGCAUAACUUUUUGGAUAUAGGCUUAUUAGCAACGUGUUUCCACUGGUUGGAUUGAGCAAGUGUAACCAGAAGGCAGAAUGGUGAAAUGGUUAAGAGCAUGGGUUCUAGAGUCAGGCUGCGUUCAAAUUCUGCUGCUGUUAAUUUAUCUUUGUGACCUUGGGCAGUUACCAUACCUCUCUGUGCCUCAGUUUCCUCAUCAGUAAAGCAGAGAUAAUGUCAGUAUUUUCCUCAUAAGAGUAUUGCAAGGACUGAUUAAAUGAGAUAAGGUGUCUGAUAUGUUUAGCACAGGGCAUGACUUGUAUUUGCUAACAAUUAUUUUUAGGCAAGGUCAGUAGACCAAAUAACUUGAGCAGCAGAAAGGAAGUGGAAGGCGAAUAACCAGCUAUGAGGUUAUUUCUCAGAUAAUUUCUUCCUAUUUCAAUGCUUCACUUUUUACAGUUUAAUCAUCAAGCAACAGUGUUAGGGAUUACGUGAGAUAAUAUGGUCUGUGUGCUGAUUCACUCAUUUAGUGUGGUCUCAUUUCCUUAAAGAACACAUCUUGAGAGAACACUUUUUUUCUCUCUAACCCUCAGGGUCAUCUGGAUGAAAUGAAUACUUUUAGGGCAAAAUGGCUGAUACUGCUUCCUUGAUAACCACAUAUAGAAAACUGACAACUGUUUAGAACAAAGCCAAAGAUGAAACCAAAUAUAAAACCACUGAUGAAAACUAAGUGAAAAAUAUAAGCAAAAUAGAAGAAAAAUAAGGUCGUUAUUUCAAGAAAACGAAAGACAGUCAAUGCUGUUCUUUGUAUUCACAUACAAUUUGGUUCACACCAAAAUGUGAGUUGUUCUCUAUGAGAUGUUAUUAAAUGUUCCUAAGAAGACUCGCUUUAGAAAAAAACAGUAUUCCUAAGGCAUGUCCAAUCUGUCUCUUUUCUUAAUUGCUAUAGUUCUACUUUAUUAUUAUAAUGUAUUCAGCAUUAAAAUUCAUUAUUUCCCAAUAAGCUUGACUUUAUCUUAUAAUGAAAUACAACUGUCUUCUUGGUGAUUUUUAUAGGAGAUAUUAUGGAAAUAUUUUAUUAACAGAAGUAAAUAAAGUGUCAUAUCAUUUGGCUUUUCAGCCGUGUUAUAACAUUUGCAUUUUGUUUUUUCUGCCUUUACCCUCCCUGCUUCUAGCUGCAUAAAAUAAUGCAUUUUAAAAAUAAAAAUACAUUAUUUUUCAACAUAUGUGUGACAAUAAAAAGAUCACUGGGUCAGGGGUCAGACGAUCUGAGUUCUGCCCUUUCAUUUUCUUAUCUGUAAAAAUGAUUCCUAAGAUUCCUUCUAUUACUAACAUUUUAUAAUCUACAUUCAAAUUUUAUGUGAAAGUUUAGUGCAUCCGAGAUAACUAUUUUCAAAUAAGAAUCUCUUUUGAUGCUAACAUCUAUGCAUCAAAUUCUUCAUUCUCAAGUUGUAAGUUGCUCUUUACAUAAUUUCACCUAUGUACAUAUAUUCUAUAGAAAAAAGAGACAUUCCAGUAUCUUAACAAUGUCAAAAAGGAUAUACUGACACUAACAUUAACUGGAGAUUGGAAGACUAGACAAAUCAAGGCUAGAACUACAUAAGGGAAGCUAUUCUCCCAAAUACGCUGUUUUUGCUGUUGUUUAACCAAAGAUAUCUUCCCUUUCAUUCUUCUUUUUUAAAGCUAAGGAUAUUUAAGACAUUAAUAUGUUUGGCUAACUGAUUAAUA
rnacentral:lncRNA from 1 species